CCAGCUUAAUUAAUUAUAACCUCGUAAUAGACUGUUGACACUCGGUUUCCAUAGGGCCAUCGUAUUUGAAAGGUUACAUCUACUGUCUUGGCUGUGACGAUGUAGAUCCAUACAACAACUGUGUCAAAAGAUCCUACACCUGCGUUGCUUGGAAAAUGGAGUACUGUUACAACCGGGUAGUGAGCAAAAAUGGAGUGCUUCUUUUUGUGGACCGAGGCUGCAUUUCUAACUGCAUCCAUGUACAACGUGAUAGCCAUUAUAGGAACCUCACCUGGUGCUGCAAUCACAGAGAUCAUUGCAAUCAGCAUAACAUCUGGCCAAAUUAUCUCCCAUCAGAGCUAGCAGAACUGUCAUAGCAUUCUACUCAUCUCCUCCCCAUCUGGGGCAUUAAACACCCUCUCAAGUGCAGCCCCAGUACUUAGUGAGGGGUGAGAUGAUUUUUUUUGCUGCUUUGUUCUUGAUCUAAAAAAACUCACACAUUGCUUCAUAUGUCACGUGGAAAGAUCUUGAAACUUUAUUUUAAAAAAACUAAUUUGAUCAAGCUCUCAAACACUUAACUCUUGGAUGUUUUGUUUUGAAUCUAUGUGCAAAUCUGUGCCAACUGGCGAGACAAAAAAAGGGGUGGUCUGCUCUGGGAAGACUUGAGGCUAAUUCUGCUAUGUAAGUCCCUGCACUUCAGCUGCACAGCUGCAGGUUUUUCACCAAAAUUCAAAACUUUGCAACAACUCUGGGUCACUUUUCUUUAAAGCAAAGACUAAGGUUGUUAGCCAAAUGAAAGAUGGCUUAAUCUUUUUUCUUGUCUGUCAUGUGUCUGCUGAAAAUCCCUGUUCCACAUUUCAGAAGCAUGACAGGUACUUUGACUUUCAGGCAGGUUAGUUAGCUCAUCAUAAUCCCUUUGUCAUCCGCUGAUGCUUGUUUUUUCUUUCUUUCCCCUAUUCUCUUACUGAUAAACUCUGAGGAUGGACCACACUCCAAAAUGUUUUCUUACUUUCAUGAACUCAUUAAGGAAAACAUACGUAUUAAUGGAAAAGCUCUAGACUGACUCCUCUCUGCUGGAAAAGGUAAUGGAGCUUUCAAAGUUAAGAGGGACCAACUGGGUUUAUCCCCUUGAGUUUCCAAUAUCAGCCAUCCUGAGACCUCCAAGAAAACCAUAGGUAGAGUCAUAAGGCCACAAGAAACAUUAAUGCCUCAGUGUGAAUCCCCUCCCCAAUUAAGGAUUGUUUUGUGUUAAGAUGAGAAGUACUUAACUGAUGAAA
ensembl:lncRNA